UGCAGUCGAGCGAAUGGAUUAAGAGCUUGCUCUUAUGAAGUUAGCGGCGGACGGGUGAGUAACACGUGGGUAACCUACCCAUAAGACUGGGAUAACUCCGGGAAACCGGGGCUAAUACCGGAUAAUAUUUUGAACUGCAUAGUUCGAAAUUGAAAGGCGGCUUCGGCUGUCACUUAUGGAUGGACCCGCGUCGCAUUAGCUAGUUGGUGAGGUAACGGCUCACCAGGCGACGAUGCGUAGCCCACCUGAGAGGGUGAUCGGCCACACUGGGGACUGAGACACGGCCCAAACUCCUACGGGAGGCAGCAAUAGGGAAUCUUCCGCAAUGGACAAAGUCUGACGGAACACGCCCCCUGGGUGAUGAAGGCUUUCGGUCCUAAAACUCUUUUGUUGGGAAAAAAAG
rnacentral:rRNA from 1 species